UACGUAGGGGGCAAGCGUUGUCCGGAUUUAUUGGGCGUAAAGAGCGUGUAGGCGGCCUGACAGGUCUGCUGUGAAAACUCGAGGCUCAACCUCGAGAUGUCGGCGGAAACCGUCUGGCUAGAGUCCGGAAGAGGAGAGUGGAAUUCCUGGUGUAGCGGUGAAAUGCGCAGAUAUCAGGAAGAACACCAAUGGCGAAAGCAGCUCUCUGGGACGGUACUGACGCUGAGACGCGAAAGCGUGGGGAGCGAACAGG
rnacentral:rRNA from 1 species